AUUGAACGCUGGCGGCAGGCCUAACACAUGCAAGUCGAGCGGAUGAAGGGAGCUUGCUCCUGGAUUCAGCGGCGGACGGGUGAGUAAUGCCUAGGAAUCUGCCUGGUAGUGGGGGAUAACGUCCGGAAACGGGCGCUAAUACCGCAUACGUCCUGAGGGAGAAAGUGGGGGAUCUUCGGACCUCACGCUAUCAGAUGAGCCUAGGUCGGAUUAGCUAGUUGGUGGGGUAAAGGCCUACCAAGGCGACGAUCCGUAACUGGUCUGAGAGGAUGAUCAGUCACACUGGAAAUGAGACACGGUCCAGACUACUACGGGAGGCAGCAGUGGGGAAUAUUGGACAAUGGGCGAAAGCCUGAUCCAGCCAUGCCGCGUGUGUGAAGAAGGUCUUCGGAUUGUAAAGCACUUUAAGUUGGGAGGAAGGGCAGUAAGUUAAUACCUUGCUGUUUUGACGUUACCAACAGAAUAAGCACCGGCUAACUUCGUG
rnacentral:rRNA from 1 species